rnacentral:rRNA from 1 species
CGUGAAAAGCACCCCGACAAGGGGAGUGAAAGAGAUCCUGAAACCGAAUGCCUACAAACAGUUGGAGCCCAAGAUUUGUUCUGGGUGACAGCGUACCUUUUGUAUAAUGGGUCAGCGACUUAGUCUGACGAGCAAGCUUAAACCGGUAGGUGUAGGCGCAGCGAAAGCGAGUCUGAACAGGGCGUUCAGUUCGUUGGAUUAGACCCGAAACCAAGUGAUCUAGCCAUGAGCAGGUUGAAGGUAAGGUAACACUUACUGGAGGACCGAACCCGCAUCUGUUGCAAUAGAUUGGGAUGACUUGUGGCUAGGGGUGAAAGGCCAAUCAAACUUGGAGAUAGCUGGUUCUCCGCGAAAUCUAUUUAGGUAGAGCGUCGAUCGAAUACCUUCGGGGGUAGAGCACUGGAUGGGCUAGGGGAUCUCACCGAUUUACCAAACCUAACCAAACUCCGAAUACCGAAGAGUACUAAUCGGCAGACACACGGCGGGUGCUAACGUCCGUCGUGAAGAGGGCAACAACCCUGACCACCAUCUAAGGUCCCUAAGUUAUGGCUAAGUGGGAAAGGAUGUGAGGAUCCCAAAACAACCAGGAUGUUGGCUUAGAAGCAGCCAUCAUUUAAAGAAAGCGUAACAGCUCACUGGUCUAAAUAAGGGUCUUUGCGCCGAAAAUGUACCGGGGCUCAAGCCAUACACCGAAGCUGUGGAUUUGCUUAGCAAUAAGCAAGUGGUAGCGGAGCGUUCUGUAAGCCGUUGAAGAGGGACCCGUGAGGGCCUAUGGAGGUAUCAGAAGUGAGAAUGCUGACAUGAGUAACGAUAAAGGGAGUGAGAGACUCCCUCGCCGAAAGUCCAAGGGUUCCUGCUUAAAGUUAAUCUGAGCAGGGUUAGCCGGCCCCUAAGGCGAGGCCGAAAGGCGUAGUCGAUGGGAACCACGUUAAUAUUCGUGGGCCUGCGGGUAGUGACGGAUCGCGUAGACUGUUCCUCCUUAUUGGAUUGGAGGGGCUUUUGAGCGGUUCCAGGAAAUAGCUCCCGCGUAUAGACCGUACCCUAAACCGACACUGGUGGACUGGUAGAGCAUACCAAGGCGCUUGAGAGAACUGCGUUGAAGGAACUCGGCAAAUUGCACGCGUAACUUCGGAAGAAGCGUGACCCUUUUUGACGCAAGUCAAGGAGGGUGGCACAGACCAGGGGGUAGCGACUGUUUACCAAAAACACAGGGCUCUGCGAAGUCGCAAGACGACGUAUAGGGUCUGACGCCUGCCCGGUGCUGGAAGGUUAAGAGGAGAGGUGCAAGCUUUGAAUCGAAGCCCCAGUAAACGGCGGCCGUAACAAUAACGGUCCUAAGGUAGCGAAAUUCCUUGUCGGGUAAGUUCCGACCUGCACGAAUGGCGUAACGACUUCCCCGCUGUCUCCAACGCAGACUCAGUGAAAUUGAAUUCCCCGUGAAGAUGCGGGGUUCCUGCGGUUAGACGGAAAGACCCCGUGCACCUUUACUAUAGCUUUACACUGGCAUUCGUGUCGGCAUGUGA